rnacentral:rRNA from 1 species
UACGGAGAGUGCGAACGUUGUUCGGAUUCACUGGGCGUAAAGGGCACGUAGGCGGCUUGGCAAAUCGGUCGUGGAAUCCCGACGCUUACCGUCGGAACGGCGGCCGAAAAUACCGAGCUCGAGGGCGUGAGGGGUCACUGGAACUCCUGGUGAAGCGGUGAAAUGCGUAGAUAUCAGGAGGAACGCUGGAGGCGAAAGCGAGUGACUGGCGCGUUCCUGACGCUGAGGCGCGAAAGCUAGGGGAGCAAACAGG